rnacentral:rRNA from 1 species
CCUACGGGGGGCUGCAGUCGGGAAUAUUGCGCAAUGGAGGAAACUCUGACGCCGUGACGCCGCGUGCAGGAAGAAGGCUUUCGGAUUGUAAACUGCUUUAGACAGGGAAGAAAAAAGACAGUACCUGUUGUAUAUGCUCCGGCUAACCACGUGCCAGCAGCCGCGGUAAUACGGAGGGAGCAAGCGUUAUCCGGAUUGAUUGGGUGUAAAGGGUGCGUAGACGGAGAAGCAAGUGAGUAGUGAAAGACCUCGGCUUAACUGAGGAACUGCAACGAAAACUACUUCCCUUGAGUACUGGAGAGGAAAGUGGAAUGCCUAGUGUAGCGGUGAAAUGCGUAGAUAUUAGGAGGAACACCAGUGGCGAAGGCGACUAUCUGGACAGUAACUGACGUUGAGGCACGAAAGUGUGGGGAGCAAACAGGAUUAGAUACCCCGGUAGUC